GAAAACUGAGGUGGUUCCGGAUGGGCAUGCGUGAUAUUAGCUGGAUGGAGAGGUAACGGCUCACCAUGGCUACGAUAUCUAGGGGAACUGAGAGGUUAAUCCCCCACACUGGUACUGAGACACGGACCAGACUCCUACGGGAGGCAGCAGUGAGGAAUAUUGGUCAAUGGGAGGAAUCCUGAACCAGCCAUGCCGCGUGCAGGACGACGGCUCUACGAGUUGUAAACUGCUUUUGUACCGGGGUAAAAUGCCUUACGAGUAGGGUUUUGAAAGUACGGUACGAAUAAGGAUCGGCUAACUCCGUGCCAGCAGCCGCGGUAAUACGGAGGAUCCGAGCGUUAUCCGGAUUCAUUGGGUUUAAAGGGUGCGUAGGUUGUUUUAUAAGUUAGCGGUGAAAUACCGAUGCUCAACAUCGGGGCUGCCGCUGAUACUGUAGGACUAGAGAUCGGAUGCAGCAGGCGGAAUGUGUAGUGUAGCGGUGAAAUGCAUAGAUAUUACACAGAACACCGAUUGCGAAGGCAGCUUGCUAGGCCGGAUCUGACACUGAUGCACGAAAGCGUGGGGAUCGAACAGGAUUAGAUACCCUGGUAGUCCACGCAGUAAACGAUGAUAACUAGUUGUCGGCGAUACACAGUCG
rnacentral:rRNA from 1 species